rnacentral:rRNA from 1 species
AAAGCAGAUCGCAUGAUCAGCUUUUAAAAGGCGGCGUAAGCUGUCGCUAUGGGAUGGCCCCGCGGUGCAUUAGCUAGUUGGUAAGGUAAAGGCUUACCAAGGCGAUGAUGCAUAGCCGAGUUGAGAGACUGAUCGGCCACAUUGGGACUGAGACACGGCCCAAACUCCUACGGGAGGCAGCAGUAGGGAAUCUUCCACAAUGGACGCAAGUCUGAUGGAGCAACGCCGCGUGAGUGAAGAAGGUUUUCGGAUCGUAAAGCUCUGUUGUUGGUGAAGAAGGAUAGAGGUAGUAACUGGCCUUUAUUUGACGGUAAUCAACCAGAAAGUCACGGCUAACUACGUGCCAGCAGCCGCGGUAAUACGUAGGUGGCAAGCGUUGUCCGGAUUUAUUGGGCGUAAAGCGAGCGCAGGCGGAAGAAUAAGUCUGAUGUGAAAGCCCUCGGCUUAACCGAGGAACUGCAUCGGAAACUGUUUUUCUUGAGUGCAGAAGAGGAGAGUGGAACUCCAUGUGUAGCGGUGGAAUGCGUAGAUAUAUGGAAGAACACCAGUGGCGAAGGCGGCUCUCUGGUCUGCAACUGACGCUGAGGCUCGAAAGCAUGGGUAGCGAACAGGAUUAGAUACCCUGGUAGUCCAUGCCGUAAACGAUGAGUGCUAAGUGUUGGGAGGUUUCCGCCUCUCAGUGCUGCAGCUAACGCAUUAAGCACUCCGCCUGGGGAGUACGACCGCAAGGUUGAAACUCAAAGGAAUUGACGGGGGCCCGCACAAGCGGUGGAGCAUGUGGUUUAAUUCGAAGCAACGCGAAGAACCUUACCAGGUCUUGACAUCUAGUGCCAUUUGUAGAGAUACAAAGUUCCCUUCGGGGACGCUAAGACAGGUGGUGCAUGGCUGUCGUCAGCUCGUGUCGUGAGAUGUUGGGUUAAGUCCCGCAACGAGCGCAACCCUUGUUAUUAGUUGCCAGCAUUAAGUUGGGCACUCUAAUGAGACUGCCGGUGACAAACCGGAGGAAGGUGGGGAUGACGUCAAGUCAUCAUGCCCCUUAUGACCUGGGCUACACACGUGCUACAAUGGGCAGUACAACGAGAA